GACGAACGCUGGCGGCGUGCUUAACACAUGCAAGUCGAGCGAGGCCCCUCCUUCGGGAGGGUGUCCUAGCGGCGAACGGGUGAGUAACACGUGGGCAACCUGCCCUCAGCUCUGGGAUAACUCCGGUAAACCGGGGCUAAUACCGGAUACGACCUCCACGGGCAUCUGCGGAGGUGGAAAGUUUUUCGGCUGAGGAUGGGCCCGCGGCCUAUCAGCUAGUUGGUGGGGUAGUGGCCCACCAAGGCGACGACGGGUAGCCGGCCUGAGAGGGGGACCGGCCACACUGGGACUGAGACACGGCCCAGACUCCUACGGGAGGCAGCAGUGGGGAAUAUUGCGCAAUGGGCGAAAGCCUGACGCAGCGACGCCGCGUGAGGGACGAAGGCCUUCGGGUUGUAAACCUCUUUCAGCAGGGACGAAGCGAAAGUGACGGUACCUGCAGAAGAAGCACCGGCCAACUACGUG
rnacentral:rRNA from 1 species